rnacentral:rRNA from 1 species
GACGAACGCUGGCGGCGUGCUUAACACAUGCAAGUCGAACGGAAAGGCCCUGCUUUUGUGGGGUGCUCGAGUGGCGAACGGGUGAGUAACACGUGAGUAACCUGCCCUUGACUUUGGGAUAACUUCAGGAAACUGGGGCUAAUACCGGAUAGGAGCUCCUGCUGCAUGGUGGGGGUUGGAAAGUUUCGGCGGUUGGGGAUGGACUCGCGGCUUAUCAGCUUGUUGGUGGGGUAGUGGCUUACCAAGGCUUUGACGGGUAGCCGGCCUGGGAGGGUGACCGGCCACAUUGGGACUAAGAUACGGCCCGAACUCCUACGGGAGGCAACAGUGGGAAAUAUUGCACAAUGGGCGGAAGCCGGAUGCAGCAACGCCGCGUGCGGGAUGACGGCCUUCGGGUUAUAAACCGCUUUCGCCUGUGACGAAGCGUGAGUGACGGUAAUGGGUAAAGAAGCACCGGCUAACUACGUG